UACGUAGGGGGCGAGCGUUGUCCGGAGUUACUGGGCGUAAAGCGCACGCAGGCGGUCUGUUAAGUUUGGAGUGACAGUUGGUGGCUUAACUGCCAAAGUGCUUCGAAAACUGAGAGACUUGAGGGCUUCAGAGGGACACGGAAUUCCGGGUGGAGUGGUGAAAUGCGUAGAGAUCCGGAGGAACACCAAAGGCGAAGGCAGUGUCCUGGGGAGUACCUGACGCUCAGGUGCGAAAGCCAGGGGAGCGAACGGG
rnacentral:rRNA from 1 species